AUUGAACGCUGGCGGCAGGCCUAACACAUGCAAGUCGAGCGGGGUUUUCGGACCUAGCGGCGGACGGGUGAGUAAUGCGUAGGAAGCUACCCGAUAGAGGGGGAUACCAGUUGGAAACGACUGUUAAUACCGCAUAAUGUCUACGGACCAAAGUGUGGGACCUUCGGGCCACAUGCUAUCGGAUGCGCCUACGUGGGAUUAGCUAGUUGGUGAGGUAAUGGCACACCAAGGCGACGAUCCCUAGCUGGUUUGAGAGGAGGAUCAGCAAAACUGGAACUGAGACACGGUCCAGACUCCUACGGGAGGCAGCAGUGGGGAAUAUUGGACAAUGGGCGCAAGCCUGAUCCAGCCAUGCCGCGUGUGUGAAGAAGGCCUUCGGGUUGUAAAGCACUUUCAGUAGGGAGGAAGCGUUGUGUGUUAAUAGUACACAGCGUUGACGUUACCUACAGAAGAAGCACCGGCUAACUCUGUGCCAGCAGCCGCCGUAAGAC
rnacentral:rRNA from 1 species